rnacentral:rRNA from 1 species
GAUGAACGCUGGCGGCGUGCCUAAUACAUGCAAGUCGAGCGAACGGACGAGAAGCUUGCUUCUCUGAUGUUAGCGGCGGACGGGUGAGUAACACGUGGAUAACCUACCUAUAAGACUGGGAUAACUUCGGGAAACCGGAGCUAAUACCGGAUGAUAUUUUGAACCGCAUGGUUCAAAAGUGAAAGACGGUCUUGCUGUCACUUAUAGAUGGAUCCGCGCUGCAUUAGCUAGUUGGUAAGGUAACGGCUUACCAAGGCAACGAUGCAUAGCCGACCUGAGAGGGUGGCCGGCAACAGGAGAAAAGGAAACCGGCCCGAACCCUGCGGAGGGCAAGGAGAAGGAACUCUUAGGAAAGGGGGGAAAGCUUGAUGGAAAACCCCCGGGUGAGUGAUGAAGGGCUUGGGUUCAAAAAACUGUUUUAUUAGGAAGGAAAAUGUGUGAAGGAAAUGGGGCACAUCUUAGCGUUACUAAAUGAAAAAGCCGCGGCUAACUACGUG